AUUUUGUAUUAAUGAUCUGUUCAAUGAACGGAUUAUUCUAAUUUACUUUUAGCCUUUAAUUUUAGGAUAGAUUUGCAAAGCGUAGAAAAUAAAUAGUUUUGUUGCAAUCACCACAAAAUGCAAUAAUUACGACUGCAGAUUUUCUAGUAGGCUUUACAUAUAUGAACUUUAUUAGAUUGACACCGCUGUUUGUUUCAAUAUACCUCAUCGCUAUUAAUCGUUCUUUAUAGGUGUGUGUGGAGAUUCGAAGUCCAUCACAAAAAUAGUAGAGUUUCAUCAUCAUAGGGAUAGUCAUUACCAGAGGAGAGUUAAGACGUUUGUGAUUUCUAUAAUUCCAAAUUUUGUUGAUAAAGUUUAUGUGAUGGAUAUAUGUUAGAUUAAAAGUUUUGCAGAGUAUUCCUAUCAUUUACUGAAACAUAUAAAAGCAAUAGUGAGUAACACGUUUUUUGUUUUUUGCUGGAAACACAUUAUAUUUGUCGUGAAGAUGAAGUUAAAGCAUCACAUUCCUCUGGCAUUUUUAAAUUGCAAGAAAUCCGCGUGCUAAUCGGACUCAUAGAUAUUUAACGUGUAUUUUAAUGUAUCACCAAUCAGCUUUGAUCCCUUCAGAUAAAGUGUCCAGUUUGGGAUCAUCUGACAGCACUUGACUCAUUUGCUUGCAUUUUCCACAACUGCAGUCAGUUGUAACCUGACGUUCUUACUUUGGUUGAUUGGCCAUAUCUUGGACCAUUGGAUUAGACUCUCCUUGCCGUUUAGCAUCCCGAUGUCUACUGUAAGUAUCCUGUUAGUACCAUAGUUUAAUUCAUAUUAUAAUGCACAUCUCUUUAAACGAGGUUUUCAACAUUUGAUAAACAGAAAUACAUUUAAUACUUUGCAUGUUCUUGGUAAAAGUUUACUGAUAAAUGCUAGAUCUUCCUAUUUCAUUCCACAGCAUACUGACGUAGAUUUAUUAACUUAAAAUAAAAGAAUUUGUUACAACGAAUUGACUUUUCAAUCAACAUAGGAACAUAAAAAAAUUGAAAAUAAUAACAGACAUUGAUAACAAGAUAGCAUUACAGCCGUACAUCAGUGUCAAACAACAAUAUUUUAAUGUCAUACAAUCGUAUUUCAGUGCAAACAAUCGUACUUCAGCGUCAAACAUUCGUACUUCAGCGUCAAACAUUCGUACUUAACCUUCAAACAAUAGUAAAUCAGUGUCAAACCAUCGUACCUCAGUGUGAAAAUAACUGUUAGAACAACAAUAACAAAUCAGAAAUAUGAAAGUUGUUAUCCAUUCGUUUGAUUUGUUUAAGCUUUUGAUUGUAUCGUAUUGAAUUUUCACGGAGUGUGGUAUUUUUGUGUUUGAAUGUCCUUUUGAUAUCUUUAGUCUAUGGUGAUGUUUUAUAUGAGCUUCUCUAUAUCAUCACAAUAAUGAGUCCGAAAUUGAUACACAAUAUAUUUUCAUAGGGAAGUAACUAUCGGUAGAAAUGUAAUUUAACUACCUCAAUAAUUAUGUUGUGGAUCAAACUAUCCAUCAUUUUGAUAAUAUCAUCUUUGAUAUAUUUGAUACUUAAUUUAAUUCAGUUCUUUACCAUGUAUAUUUUUUUCAUGACCUUAAAUAACAAAAGUGUAUCUACGAUUCCCCUUUUUGUAGCUAAUGAUCGUUAAAAUAAGAGGAUGAUUUCGCACUUUCGAUUGAGCUUUAAAUUUCAGAAUAGAAUUGCAAAGCGUAGAUCAAUGCAUAGUUUUGUUAUCGCCUCAAAAUAUAAUAAUCAUAAUUCCAGAUUUUGUAGUAGGCUUUUUAUAUUUUUAAUUUUAAUUUGAUUGACCCAUCUGUUUAAAUAUACCAGACAUCGCUAUUAAUCGUUCUUCAAAGUUGUUUGUGAAGUUUUGAAGUCUAUCAUAUAAAUGGUAAAAUUUCAUCAUAAUGCUUUAUGUCAUUACCGGAGGAGAGCUGAGACGGAUUUGUGAUUUUUAAACUCCCAUCUUAAUUUGAAUAACGUUAAUGUGAUGGAAAAUAAAAUUUAGAAAGGAAAUGGGGAAUGUGUCAAAGCGACAACAACCCGACCAUAGAGCAGACAACAGCGAAGGCACCAAGGUCUUCAAUGUAGCGAGAAUCGCACCGUAGGGUCUUCAGCUUGCCCCUUCAAAAUAUGUACAUGUAUACUAGUACAGUGAUAACGGACGUCAUACUUAACUCCGAAUUAUACACAAGAAACUAAAAUUAGAUUUGAGAUUCAUAGUUUUGCAAUGCAUUCUUAUUCUUAAAUAAGACACACGAAAGCAAUAGUGUUAAAUAUGUUUUUUGUUGCUGGAACACCAUUAUAUUUGUCGUGAAGAUAAAGAUAACGCAUCCACAUCCUCAUUCAUUUUAAAGGGUAAGAAAUCCGCGUGCUCAUCGAACUUCAUAGAUUUUGAACGUGCUUCUGAUUGCAUCAGCGACCAGCUUUGAUCCAGAUUGGGAUCAUCUGACUAAACUUGACUCAUUUGCCUGCAAAUUCCACACCUGUCCCCAUUGGAAACCUUAAGUUCUUAUUUUGAUUGAUUGGCUAAAUUUUGGAACCUUGGAUUUGAACUCUUCUAGCCGUUUAGUAAUACUGAUGUCUUCUGUAAGUAUCAUUGUUUAUACCAUAGUUUAAUAUAGGUUAAAAUGUACACCUCUUUAAAAGAUGUUUGGAACAUUUGAUAAACAAGAAUUCAUUUGAUAUUAUGCAUGAUCUCAGUAAAAGUUUACUGAUCAAUGCUAUAUAGUAUUAUUUCAUUCCUCUGCAUACCCAGUCACGAAGAUUAAUUAAAUUAAAUCCCAAAAUCUGCUCCAAAUUUACUUCUUCAUCGACAUAAGAACAUAAAAAAUAUUGAAAAUGAUAUAAUACAUCGAUGUUUAAUAAGAUAGCAUUACAACCGUACUUUAGUGUAAAACAAUGGUACUUCAGCGUCAAACAAUCGUCAUCAAGCGUACAAAAAUCUUACUUAGGGUCAAACAAUAGUCCAUCAUCGUCAAACUAUUGUACUUCAGUAUGAUCAUAGCGGGUAGAACGACCAUAGCGGUCCAGAAUUAUAUUCAUUUAUAAAUAACAGUUGGUAUUUCUAUAUAUACUUGUUGUGUAUCUUGAUAAAGCAAAUUGAUAUGAUCUAUAAAAAGUAUCAACUUAUAAUGUAAUUUUGGAUUUAUCGCGUCUUCUGAUUGGCUGACGUUGUUUUGUUUAUCAGCUCAUAGACAUAGUUGUGUCAUGAGGCCGUGACAUCAUCAACGUUUUUUCAUGGUCUAUUACGAUUUAAAAUGGAAUUUAUUAUUAAAUUAUAAGAAAUGACUGUAAUAGUUUUUCUGUCUAUUCGAAAUAACAUUAAAAUAUGGUGCAUACUUUAAAAUAACCCGCUACGCGGUUUAUUCAGUGUGCACUACAUUGUUGAUAUUAUUUCUUCAUAGACAGAAAAAUAUUACAGUCGUUCCUUAAAUAAAUUAUAAUAAUAUAGAGAAGUGGUAUGAUUGAAAAUGAGAUAAAUAACAACCAAGGUUCAUAUGAAGUGAAUGUAAGGAAUUUUCGACCAACGAGCGGCCUUCAACUAUGAAAAUCACCAAUACCGUAAAGUCAGCUGUAAAAGACACUGCCACGGUUUCCAAAUAUAAAAGAACGGAAAUAAAAUGCUGCCUAUUAGCUGAAAAAAUAUAUACCAUAUUGUUCAACCAAUUUUCGGUGUAGACAUAUAACUUACAUAGUGUUGAUUAUAAUCGUUUUUCAUCAUUACUGAGGUGGAGCAGUGUUUUGUAUGGAGAGUAUCCUUGUUUUCGAAGAACCGACAGUGUUGAUAUGCACGAGGGCAAGUAUUAAUUCAGAUCUAUAAACAAGAUACAACUGGAAAGAAGAUAUUUUAUUGCCGAGAAAUGGUAGGUAAACAUUUGGAAACUUGAAAUGACUAUUGCGCCA
rnacentral:lncRNA from 1 species